AGUGAAGUCAGCUAAACAAGCUCUCGGGCCCAUACCCCGAAAAUGUUGGUCACAAACCCUCCUUCACUA
rnacentral:tRNA from 1 species